rnacentral:rRNA from 1 species
AAUCACUUGUUCUUUAAAUGAGGACUAGUAUGAAUGGCACCACGAGGGUUAUACUGUCUCCUUUUUUUAAUCAGUGAAACUAAUCUUCCAGUGAAGAAGCUGGAAUUUUAAUAUAAGACGAGAAGACCCUAUGGAGCUUUAAACUAAUUUACACUUGCUGCUUACAUAUUUAAUUUUUCAGAAACUUGUUUUAGCAUAGCACUUUGAUAAAUAGUUUUUGAUUGGGGUGAUCAUGGAGCAAAAAAUAACCUCCACGACGAAAGGAUCUAUUCUCCUGAGCAAAAAGCUACAACUUUAAGCACUAAUAUAAUUAACGUAUCUUGACCCAAAAAUUUUGAUCAACGAACCAAGUUACCCUAGGGAUAACAGCGCAAUCCACUUCAAGAGCUCCUAUCGACAAGUGGGUUUACGACCUCGAUGUUGGAUCAGGGUAUCCCAGUGGUGCAGCCGCUACUAAUGGUUCGUUUGUUCAACGAUUAAAACCCUACGUGAUCU